UAGCAAUGUCCUGUAAUGUUUUGGAAGUCUCUUGGACAACCCUGACCAACAAUUCAAAUGAAGGCUUCACAUGCUUGGUGUUAGGGCUUCUGUUAGAUGGUCUUUGGUUAGAUGGUCACCUAGGACAUCUAUUUAAACUGUAUAUGUAUAUUUAUAUAUUGACCUACGUGUAUUUUAAAAAAGUUUUAGGUAGUUAAUAGUAUGAUUCCUUUCCUUACACUUCUAGACGCCAUCAGUAUUAUUUUAUUCUCUUCCCUUCUUCUGUAUUUAUUUUCUUCCCUCCUCCCUAAUUAAAGCAUUCCUGUUUCCUUCCCAUUUCAUCAUCAGGCCAAUUCUACCUUGCUAUCCCCCUCUCUAUGACUCCUCCUCACACCCCAGGAAUGGCCCCUACUUACUUUCCUGGUUUCUGUAGUUACUUUAGACUAUGGACUCAUAUCUGAAGAGUGGAGCUAGGAGCCUUAGAUGAGAGAGAACACAGCUGCUGCCCCUGACCAGAUGAUUGGAGUCUGCGUUGUCUUAACUAUCAGUUCCGAAGACUCAAGACCUGGUGUCUUUUCUUGGGUAUCAGUUCCCUGGAGACUCUGAAUUUCCAGUAAUAGCAACCAAGAUGGCAGCAGCCGGAGUUGGUUGCAGUCAAGUCUGGGACAGAUUUGAUUUUUUUUUCUCUCAGUCUAAUUAUUAACCACCUUCCGGAAAAUAGAGGGCGGUUGUUCCCAUGGUAACAAAAGCCUCAUGGCCAGAAAGCAUUCAGUACCCUGACAUUUAUAGCCGGCUCUGCACUGUGCCAACUUGCUGAUGCAGGAAGCCAGGAAUCAGAACCCAAAGUGUCUUCCUGGAAGGAAAAUUUUACUUUCCAGUUUUUCUUUCUUCAAGGUUCUUCUAAAGGAUUCUAUCUAAUGCUGUCUUAUUUGUCUUCCAGCCCCACCGACCCGAGACCCCUUCCCCUACAUCCUGGUGUCUGCACAUUUCCAGAGCUACCCACAUUCUCCAUGCAUCAUCCUGUGCUCAUCUUGUUAUCUGCUGCACUUGGUCCUCUAGUCCUGAAGAACAAGCCAUGGUGCUGGAGGGCCUCCAGGCCAUGGGGAUGCUGCAUUUAACCCAGCUCAUGGGAUAACAGGGAUAGAAACCACCAUCGCUCGUUUGUUUCUGCAGUUUCUUUUACACCAGAAGUGUGCUGUUGUGAGGUUCUUGCUAGGAUCAGCCCAAGACACUUAUCCCAACUAUGCAUCGCUUCGUAUUUGCCUGCCCUUCUUUCCAUCUCAACAACUUGUACAGCAGAGCACAUCACCACAUCUGGCUGCUUCUGCUCUAAUGGUGCUAAUCUGGGGCACGAGGUUCAUGGGAGAGGUUUGGCACUCCUGCACCUCUUCUAUUUUCUACCCCCACUCCAGAUCCCUGGGGUGGUCUCUGAUGCAGUGGAGGCAGCGUGGGUAUGAAGGGGAGGUGUGCCUGCUGUGGGUCCAGCCAGGCCCCCAUGUGCUCUGACCCCCUUUGAGGUAAGUGGAGACACAUUUCUUUCCUGGCAGCUGCAGAGACCAAGCAUCAGAAAACGGCUUUGAAGUUUCCCAAGGAGGAAAGACAUUCUAUAAAGAGAAGGGCCCAUGAUUGCUUCCUGACUUCAGUGCGUUAGCAAUGGUCUGCUGAAUUUUGGAGAGCAGCAGUGGACUUCACAUUUAAUUGUUUUGAUUCCUUUUUAAUAAUAAUAAAAAAACCCUUCUUAGUUGACUGUGAUUGGAAAAACAAGCUAAAAACAAUAGGAAUGAAUCCCAAAGCUGCUCAAAUAUCUGUCUGUAAAUCAGAUGUUAAAUAAAGGCACCAAAAAGAAAAGUCCUCAAACUUUGUUAUAACGUGCAAUAGAAGUUUAAGACUAUUAAAUUUACUGAAAUGCAUUUUAAUAUAUGCUUAGAAUUUGUUUGCAUCUCCCUGUUCUAUUUUCAAAUAUGCCUAAAGGCAGGCAUUGCUUAUUUUAAAUUCACCUUAAAUCCACCCUCCAACUUUCACCCAUCUCCCUUGGUCCUGUAUCCUCCUCCCAGUCUUUCUCUCCCUAAUAUUGGCUUCUCUGUGUGUGUGUCUUUGUGGGGAAUAGCUCUCUUCUCCCAAUCACACAAAUAACAUAGUUAUUUUUACUUUUGCUGGCAGCAGUCACAAUCACAAGCAGAUAUAAGUAUGUGUGUGCAUGUGUGAGUGCAUUGGUGUGCUUAGGUGUGAGCAUGUCUGGGGAUGCCAGAGAUCAAUGUCAAGUGUUUUUCUCAGUUUCUGUCCGUUUUGUUUCCCUGAGAUUGAGUCUUUCAGUAGACCCAGAGCUCACCGAUCCAACUACACUGACUGGCCAGUGGCCUUCUGGGAUCCUCCUGUCUCUGCCUCCCCGGUACUGAGAUUAUAAGUAAGUACUGUUGCACCCACUCUUUGAUGUGGAUUUUGGGGAUUGAACUCAGGUCAUUGG
rnacentral:sRNA from 1 species